rnacentral:rRNA from 1 species
UAGAUAGGCAUGCGUUCCAUUAGGCAGUUGGGGGGGUAACGGCCCACCAAACCGACGAUGGAUAGGGGUUCUGAGAGGAAGGUCCCCCACAUUGGUACUGAGACACGGACCAAACUCCUACGGGAGGCAGCAGUGAGGAAUAUUGGUCAAUGGGCGUAAGCCUGAACCAGCCAAGUCGCGUGAGGGAUGAAGGUUCUAUGGAUCGUAAACCUCUUUUAUAAGGGAAUAAAGUGCGGGACGUGUCCCGUUUUGUAUGUACCUUAUGAAUAAGGAUCGGCUAACUCCGUGCCAGCAGCCGCGGUAAUACGGAGGAUCCGAGCGUUAUCCGGAUUUAUUGGGUUUAAAGGGUGCGUAGGCGGCCUUUUAAGUCAGCGGUGAAAGUCUGUGGCUCAACCAUAGAAUUGUCGUUGAAACUGGGAGGCUUGAGUAUGUUUGAGGCAGGCGGAAUGCGUGGUGUAGCGGUGAAAUGCUUAGAUAUCACGCAGAACCCCGAUUGCGAAGGCAGCCUGCCAAGCCAUGACUGACGCUGAUGCACGAAAGCGUGGGGAUCAAACAGGAUUAGAUACCCUGGUA